rnacentral:rRNA from 1 species
UACAGAGGUCUCAAGCGUUUGUUCGGAUUCAUUGGGCGUAAAGGGUGCGUAGGCGGCGCGGUAAGUCGGGGUGUGAAAUCUUGGAGCUUAACUCCGAAACUGCAUUCGAUACUGCCGUGCUUGAGGACUGGAGAGGAGACUGGAAUUUACGGUGUAGCGGUGAAAUGCGUAGAUAUCGUAAGGAAGACCAGUGGCGAAGGCGGGUCUCUGGACAGUUCCUGACGCUGAGGCACGAAGGCCAGGGGGAGCAAAACGGG